rnacentral:rRNA from 1 species
AGAGUUUGAUCAUGGCUCAGGAUGAACGCUGGCGGCGUGGCUAAGGCAUGCAAGUCGAACGAUCGUUUUAUUUCCGCAAGGAUAUGAAACGGUAGUGGCAAACGGGUGAGUAACACAUUGGUAACCUACCUCGAAGUUCGGCAUAACGUUCCGAAAGGAACGCUAAUACCGGAUGUGGUGGCGGAUCGCAAGGUCUGCCAGUAAAGCCGCAAGGCGCUUUGAGAGGGGCCUAUGUUCUAUCAGCUAGUUGGUGAGGUAAUGGCUCACCAAGGCGACGACGGAUACCGGGUGUGAGAGCAUGACCCGGCUCACUGGGACUGAGACACUGCCCAGACACCUACGGGUGGCUGCAGUCACGAAUAUUCCACAAUGGGGGAAACCCUGAUGGAGCGACGCCGCGUGCAGGAAGACGGGCUUCGGCUUGUAAACUGCUUUUCCUUGGGACGAAGCUUCGGCUGACGGUACCAAAGGAAUAAGAGGUUGCUAACUCUGUGCCAGCAGCAGCGGUAAUACAGAGACCUCAAGCGUUAUCCGGAUUUAUUGGGCGUAAAGCGUCCGCAGACGGCACGUUAAGUUUCUCGUCAAAUCUCAAGGCUCAACCUUGGGGCUGCGGGGAAAACUGGCGAGCUAGAGGUUGGGAGAGGUGAGCGGAAUUACCGGUGUAGUAGUAAAAUGCGUUAAUAUCGGUAAGAACACCAAAGGCGAAGGCAGCUCACUGGAACACACCUGACGUUAAGGGACGAAAGCACGGGGAGCGAAGCGGAUUAGAUACCCUAGUAGUCC